AGUGAACGCUGGCGGUAGGCCUAACACAUGCAAGUCGAACGGCAGCACAGUAAGAGCUUGCUCUUACGGGUGGCGAGUGGCGGACGGGUGAGGAAUACAUCGGAAUCUACUUUUUCGUGGGGGAUAACGUAGGGAAACUUACGCUAAUACCGCAUACGACCUACGGGUGAAAGCAGGGGAUCUUCGGACCUUGCGCGAUUGAAUGAGCCGAUGUCGGAUUAGCUAGUUGGCGGGGUAAAGGCCCACCAAGGCGACGAUCCGUAGCUGGUCUGAGAGGAUGAUCAGCCACACUGGAACUGAGACACGGACCAGGCUCCUACGGGAGGCAGCAGUGGGGAAUGUUGGACAAUGGGCGCAAGCCUGAUCCAGCCAUACCGCGUGGGUGAAGAAGGCCUUCGGGUUGUAAAGCCCUUUUGUUGGGAAAGAAAAGCAGCAGGUUAAUACCCCGCUGUUCUGACGGUACCCAAAGAAUAAGCACCGGCUAACUUCGUG
rnacentral:rRNA from 1 species